GAUGAAGAACGCAGUGAAAUGCGAUAAUUAAUGUGAAUUGCAGAAUUCCGUGAAUCAUCGAGUCUUUGAACGCACAUUGCGCCUCAUGGCAUUCCGUGAGGCAUGCCCAUCUCAGCGUUAGAAAAUAUUCUCAAAUUUUAGUUUUGUGCUAAAAUUUGGAUCAUGUCAAGGAAGCUAUUACUAUUAUUGUGAUCGCUCUUUGGAAAUUGAUAGGUCUUUGAGUUGCUACUCAUAGAACGUGAUGAAUCUUUCUUCGUUCUAUUGUAAUUCACUCUGGUAGUCCUAAAAGUUGUAUGCCUGUGGCAUAUCUUGUAAUUUGACCUGAGAUUGGGUAGGGAUACCCGCUGAACUUAAGCAUAUCAAUAAGCGGAGGA
rnacentral:misc_RNA from 1 species